rnacentral:tRNA from 1 species
GUCUAUCGGUUAGGACGUCAGGUUUUCAACCUGAAAAGAGGGGUUCGACUCCCCN